GGAGUUUAUAGGUUUAUCAAGAAUUUGCUAAGUUUAUUGUUUUGCGGUUCAAUUCCGUAAAAGCUUCG
rnacentral:tRNA from 1 species